rnacentral:tRNA from 1 species
GGAAACAGUAGUUUAACUGGAAAAACAUUCCACUCAAAGGAAAGUCGCUGGUUCAAACCCAGCAUGUUUCUA